AAUAGAUCCAGCAAAGCAAGCAAAAUAUUUCCAAAAGCCGUAUUUGUCACAAGAAGAAAGGGACAGGUAUAAUAAACUGCUCGAUUCGCAGUCUCUGGUUUUUGACUUUACUAAUUACCAAACGCCGGAGCAAGUGAAGGCACUAUGGGAUGAAAUUAACCGAGAGGAAGAAGAGCAAAGGAGACUUUUGGAUGAAAUACUUAAAACCAAG